rnacentral:rRNA from 1 species
AUUGAACGCUGGCGGCAAGCCUAACACAUGCAAGUCGAACGAGUGGCGGACGGGUGAGUCAUGUCUGGGAAACUGCCUGAUGGAGGGGGAUAACUACUGGAAACGUUAGCUAAUACCGCAUACCAUCGGAUGUGCCCAGAUGUGAUUAGCUAGUAGGUGGGGUAAAGGCUCACCUAGGCGACGACCCCUAGCUGUUCUGAGAGGAUGACCAGCCAAACUGGAACUGAAAAACGGUCAAGACGCCUACGGGAGGCAGCAGAGGGGAAUAUUGCAAAAUGGGCGCAAGCCUGAUGCAGCCAUGCGGCGUGGAGGAAGAAGGCCUUCGGGUUGUAAAGUACUUUCAGCGGGGAGGCGUUAACCGAAGAAGAAGCGACGGCUAACUCCGUGCCAGCAGCCGCGGUAAUAC